GUUAACAUGAUUGCUAGAUUUGUUGAGCUCCUCUGCAAGCAGCUCCUUAUCAAAAUACAGUGCAGACAAUGAGGGGGACUCGGAUGACACCAUUAUAUUGCAGCAGAGUGCUACAAGAAAGACAGCUGAGGAUAAUCGUCUAUCUCAUAUGAUUGAAGACAUUCUGACGACCAAUCCUGGAGGAGAGAGGAUCAUGAAUGAGUAUGCUCGGACAAAAAGCCUAACAGAUGGCAAAAGACGCGAUAUGGUCAAGAUAUUGGUUGCACAAAUGACAAGUGAACAUGGGACAAGUCCUUCAAGGCGUGUUAAAGAGGACUACUCAAAGGGCAUCAUUGCCUUGUUCCCAAACCUGGCCGAUCCUACUAGCAAGUUUGGUUAUGGGGUCCGAAAGCUGAUAGAUACCCCUUCAGAGAGGAAAACUGUCCAACAACAGAAUGCCUGUGUUGUGAGGCCAUUGCACUGAUGAAGGAUACGGCUGAGGAAGCAAUUGUAAAGGAGAAGAUGAAGCAGACGUUCGCCUAUCGCCAAAAGAUGGUUCAUGACCCAGUGAAGUCCUCUGAAAUAUUCACAGUGUUUCCAAGAUUCCAAGACAUAGCAGGAAUGAUUGAGCAAGAUUUUAGUCUGAUGUUUGGUGAUGCAACCUCUGCAAAGUUCCUGGAGAAGUGGCCUACUCUCUACAAGCAGAAAGUAAUUGACCAAAGCCGUGGCCUCACACAGACAGGCAACCUACAAGACCUGGUUCAAAAUGCUGAAUCCACAAGGGAAGUGAAAAAUGGAUGGGACAGUGACAUGUCCUCCAUUUUGGUCCUUGUCCACAUUCUUCCACCGUCACCACUUGGCCGCAAGAGACCAGGAAAAGUCUCAGCCAGACACGCCAGUGACCACAUUGUGAAGUUUAUCAAGACUGGGACCAGCAUCCAGGGGCAUCUGGAGAGCGUCAUGGAAAGCUCUCCACCCUAUCUGCUUGCUGUGGGGACCCAGAGGAGUGCGAUUCACAAGUACUUCAUUGUGAUUGACAAGCAUGCAGUACCUUGUAAGUCACCAGACUCUCUUGCCUGUUUUGAUGAGCUUUUCAAAGCUCAUUUUGUCUUUGGUACCUCGUACAACCAGUAUCUGGUCAAUGUGUACAACUUCUUGCAAACCACAAUUUAUGAAAUUGAUGUUGAUACCACUAAGGUUAAUCCUAGGGUUGCAGAGUUGAGGGCUCGGAUGCUGCAUUGAGUUACUAAAAGUUUUGAAGUUGCAAAGGGUUAAAACACAGCAUAGGAAAUAACCGUUUUCAUUUCACACAAACUUUUUCAUAUCAUUCAUCUAAAAUGUGUUUUGCUUGCAAAAGCCUCCAGGCAAAUGCUAAUUCCUUGACAAAACUCUAGAAGUUGGUCCACGGACUUUGUCCAGGAAAGACAGUUAGUCAUGCGGUCAGGCUGGUUGUUCACAAGUUUAUGCCACUUUUUCUGGGUUCAGAAAUCAUCUUUAUAAAGCACAUGAACCUUGUUCUGAUCAUGGUGAAGGCCCCUCUACAGCUGAAUAUGUAGCAGUAAGUCAUUUUGAUGACUUACCAUUAACAAGUUCCCCUUCUGACUCAGUCCUUGUCAAUAAGAGUCUUGUAGACAGCUGCGCUGCAAUCAUUGCUGAACUUAGUGGCAGGUGUAGGUGAAACCACCAUUAACUCUUUGGUAAUUUCCAUGGAAGAGAUAGUUGAUGAUAUUCAAGCUAAAGAAUCUGUGAAGUGUAUAUGUCUAUACAGGAGCCUAUUAAAAGUGACAUUAGGUGUAAAAUUCAUCAGUGUUUUGAAAAAACGUAAUCCUUUUGGUGUACAUCUAGACGUUCCGCUAGCGGAACACCUGCUCCAAUAUCCAAUGAUGGCCGUGGCGCGAAAUACAAACUCCUCUAAAAUCCGAAAACUUCCAUUUUUCAAACAUAUGACUAUUUUACAGCAUUUUAAAGACAAGACUCUCGUUAAUCUAACCACACUGUCCGAUUUCAAAAAGGCUUUACAGCGAAAGCAAAACAUUAGAUUAUGUCAGCAGAGUACCCAGCCAGAAAUAAUCAGACACCCAUUUUUCAAGCUAGCAUAUGUCACAAAAAACAAAACCACAGCUAAAUGCAGCACUAA
rnacentral:lncRNA from 1 species